rnacentral:rRNA from 1 species
UACUCCUACGGGAGGCAGCAGUGGGGAAUAUUGGACAAUGGGCGCAAGCCUGAUCCAGCCAUACCGCGUGGGUGAAGAAGGCCUUCGGGUUGUAAAGCCCUUUUGUUGGGAAAGAAAAGCAGCCGGUUAAUACCUGGUUGUUCUGACGGUACCCAAAGAAUAAGCACCGGCUAACUUCGUGCCAGCAGCCGCGGUAAUACGAAGGGUGCAAGCGUUACUCGGAAUUACUGGGCGUAAAGCGUGCGUAGGUGGUUGUUUAAGUCUGUCGUGAAAGCCCUGGGCUCAACCUGGGAAUUGCGAUGGAAACUGGGCGACUAGAGUGUGGCAGAGGAUAGUGGAAUUCCUGGUGUAGCAGUGAAAUGCGUAGAGAUCAGGAGGAACAUCCGUGGCGAAGGCGACUGUCUGGGCCAACACUGACACUGAGGCACGAAAGCGUGGGGAGCA